rnacentral:rRNA from 1 species
GAUGAACGCUGGCGGCGUGCCUAAUACAUGCAAGUCGAGCGAACAGACGAGGAGCUUGCUCCUCUGACGUUAGCGGCGGACGGGUGAGUAACACGUGGAUAACCUACCUAUAAGACUGGGAUAACUUCGGGAAACCGGAGCUAAUACCGGAUAAUAUAUUGAACCGCAUGGUUCAAUAGUGAAAGACGGUCUUGCUGUUACUUAUAGAUGGAUCCGCGCCGCAUUAGCUAGUUGGUAAGGUAACGGCUUACCAAGGCAACGAUGCGUAGCCGACCUGAGAGGGUGAUCGGCCACACUGGAACUGAGACACGGUCCAGACUCCUACGGGAGGCAGCAGUAGGGAAUCUUCCGCAAUGGGCGAAAGCUUGACGGAGCAACGCCGCGUGAGUGAUGAAGGUCUUCGGAUCGUAAAACUCUGUUAUUAGGGAAGAACAAAUGUGUAAGUAACUAUGCACGUCUUGACGGUACCUAAUCAGAAAGCCACGGCUAACUACGUG